rnacentral:lncRNA from 1 species
GAGAAGGAAAUGGCAGAAGGUGUUGAUCAGUAAACAUGGAUAGCCCCCACUUCAGAUAUUAAUCCAUGGGCUAAAAACAGAGGGACAAAUGCAGAAUAUGAUUUAAAUGAAGAACAGAAUAUGAUCACAUUCAGGCAUGGAGUUAUAUGCUUCCGAAGACAUCAAUGACAUCCAAAACCAAAACAAGGCAAACAAGCAAG